AGGAAACCGUCGUGCCCUGACGACCAUUUGUACUCUUCUCACCUUACAGCAGCUCUGUGGUGUAACCAUUGUGCUCUUCUACAUGCAGAACAUCUUUGAGAUGACUGGAGCAGAUCUUUCCAGUAGCACUUCUUCUUUGAUCCUGGGUCUUGUCAAAUUUGCCGCUGGGUUUGUGUGUCCCAUUGCUGUAAAGUCUUAUGGGUACAAGAAGCCCUUGAUAGUAUCACUAUGUGGUACUACUUUAGGAAUGGGAGGUCUUGGAGUAUACUUUUGGCUAAAAUGUAACAAUUUUAAUGUCGAUUCUCUUAGUUGG